GUCCUUUAGAUAUUUAAUUUAAGGUCUGACCUGCCCACUGAUUUAAUUUAAAGGCCGCAGUAUUUUAACUGUGCAAAGGUAGCAUAAUCAUUAGUCUUUUAAUUGAAGGCUUGUAUGAAUGGUUGGACGAGGCAUAAGCUGUUUCAUUAAAAUUUUUGUAGAAUUUUAUUUUUUAGUCAAAAAGCUAAAAUGACUUUGAAAGACGAGAAGACCCUAUAGAUCUUUAUAAUUAUUAGGUUAUAUUUAUUAAGAUUUCUUUAUUUAUUAUCUAAAAUAUUAUUUUGUUGGGGUGACAUUAAGAUUUAAAUAACUCUUAUUAUCAUGAUACAUUAAUUUAUGAAAUUUUGAUCCUCUAUUAGUGAUUAUAAAAUUAAGUUACCUUAGGGAUAACAGCGUAAUUUUUUUAGAGAGUUCAUAUCGAUAAAAAAGAUUGCGACCUCGAUGUUGGAUUAAGAGAUAGGGCUGGGCGCAGCAGUUCAGUUUUUAAGUCUGUUCGACUUUUAAUUUCUUACA
rnacentral:rRNA from 1 species